rnacentral:misc_RNA from 1 species
GAUGAAGAACGUAGCGAAAUGCGAUAAGUAAUGUGAAUUGCAGAAUUCAGUGAAUCAUCGAAUCUUUGAACGCACAUUGCGCCCGCCAGUAUUCUGGCGAGCAUGCCUGUUCGAGCGUCAUUUCAACCAUCAAGCCCCCAGGGGCUUGUGCUGGGGCCCUGCGGCUGCCCGCAGGCCCUGAAAACCAGUGGCGGGCUCGCUAGUCACACCGAGCGCAGUAGCACAUCUCGCUCAGGGCGUGCGGCGGGCUCCUGCCGUGAAACCCCCCACUGUAACCCCAAAGGUUGACCUCGGAUCAGGUAGGAAUACCCGCUGAACUUAAGCAUAUCAAUAAGCGGAGGA